rnacentral:lncRNA from 1 species
AUCAUUAGUGUAAGACGUCAUGGGUCAUUAGCAUUCCAGAUGUCUGAGUAAGACAUGAUGGAUCAGACUCUGAAAGGUUAUGGCCUUGUUGUUAAAAUGUAGGAAUUUUGUUGUUAUUUUGGGCCCUUUUUUUUCUAUACCUAUCUCAAUAAAUCAAAGGCCUCAUAAUGAUAUACAAUGGUGAUACUUAGGCCGUGUAUACAGACCUGAGCCUGUCUGUAAUAAACCCUUAUAAGUCAGUGACAUCACUGGACACAAAUCUCCUUUGCCUGAGAUUCUGUAUACAUGUUCUCAGUGGAGGAAGCAGCACCUGAUAUACAUUCUAUUUCGCUUUCCUUGCAGAUUGGUCCUUAUGCAAACCAAAAGCUUGAUCCAACAGUCAGUCUCCAUGCUCACACUCAUGAAUCCCACCUUCCCCCCUUUCCUGGAUGCUCCUCAUUACAAGUUUGGUGUGAAUUUAACACCUGUGACACAUCUCAGCUUGGGUCAGCUACAUAAUAAGCUCUCAGGGCUAUCAGCUGCUGUACUGGCCAGGUAAGUUUGCUGACACCCACAUAAUCAUACAAGUAAAUAUUUAGAUUUUAAUGGUAAUAAGUGGAACUUAUAGGAUGUAUUAGAGAAAGCUGGCUUCUUGGGAACAGCACGAGUGAAGUCUACGAGCUGAAAAAUUGGAGAAAGUAAAGCCAGCGUGAUAACUUUCUGGGAGUGGAGGAAAUGGAAGAAAGAUAGUACCAAAACAGAGAGGGGAAUGAUCCAGGAGAAAUCUGAUUUCAGAGAGAAAAGGAAUUUAUUAACUGUAGAUGUUGAUUCCAGUUGCAGAGAUGUGGGGAAGGAAACAGAGAAGAGGGACUAGAGACUAUCAUUUGAGGCAUAUUGAAUGGGCAAGUUACACCGUUUGUUGAUGUUCUAAUGUUGGAACUUCUCAGGGACAAUUCUUUUAGGUAGCUGGAGUAGGAGCUGGGACAAGUUAGUCAAACAGAUCAGGGAAUGGAGGAACUAUAUGGUGAAUGCAAUCUGUGUCCUAAAAAGACCAUAGGUAAUGAUGGAGUUAAUGAGGGAGAUACUGCCACUGUGAGGACUGGCCUCCACAGCUCAGGGUAUGAUGGGGAUCCCACAGAGUCUGAGAACUAGGACUUUUCUAUCUGAGGGAGUAGGG